GUUUUGUUUUUUUGUUUUGCCAGAAGAUACUCUAUUUAUUUAUUUUCAUCGCCCGCGUGUGUUACACGCGCAGUAGCACCGGCAGACCAGCAGGCCGGCCCAUUCCCCGCUCAGGACGAAGCCCAAAACCGCAACCCUUUUCCUUCUGUUUUUUUCUCUCUUUUCUUCUUUCCCCCGCUGAAAGGGAUGGCCCGCACGUCAUCUUCCUCCACUGUCGUCUUCUUCCUGGAGAGCACUCCCGAUCGAAAUCCUCCUCGUUUCAGCUUGGAUCUUUUCUCUCCCGGACGCCCUACUUACCUACAAAUAUUGCUCUACCUCCUGUCCAUCGAUUUUUCACAAAUUUUUCACCUACCGUGCCCUAGAGCACCCGGUCGGAUCUCGCCAGAGUUCGCCGUUGCAGGAGCGCCCAGCUGUCGAUUUCGUCGCGUAUGUAGGUUCCCAGCACCUACUUCCCCUAUGGUUCGAUUCGCCUUGGUCUCCUCUCUCUCCCCCAUCUCUUAUUCUGCGCAGGGAGACACCGCAUUGAGCCCUAGGACCUCCGCCUGAAGCUUAAUGGAGGCAGCUCCGCUCCAGCCAGUCACUGUCACCAUAGGAACAAGCCUGAAUCGUCUCCAAGGUCACCUAAUUCAUCUCUGUGGCGUUCUGCACCCGUCAGUGAUCUCUACGUUGCUGGAGGGCGCCUGUAGCCGUCGCUCGCAUCACUACCGACCCGCCCACGCCGUUCUUUUCCAAGUCCAGCGACCACCCAGACCCUGUUUCCGGUGAGCAACCCCAUCCGUUUGAUCUCUCUCUGACGACCAAGAUUAGAUCGCCCAUAUUUUUUUCUUGAAACGUUUUCCUUUAAGUUGCACCCGUUCGCCGUUUAGACCUUGCAGCGAACAGCUUCCCACCAAUCACCGGGUGCCACGUGGCACAUCCACAGCAGCAGCGGUAGUUCUUCCUAGAAUGUUGUUAUGGCAUAAUUUUUCUUUGCACAUUUCAUAUCAUAUUUUCAUUUAGGUAUAUCUUGAGAUCUGUAACUCGAAAUUCAACGAUUCUUUUUCCUGUGUACUCAUAUUGACCAGGAGCAUCUAGUAGAACCAAAAUUUCAUAUUUUUGAACUGUUUAAAUUUGAAUUUGCUCAAAUUUGAAUUUAACCUUCUGGAGGUAGUAUCUUUCAAACCAUUGAUCCAAAUUAGUUGAUUCUUUUUUGCAUUGUGAUCCUACUAGCAUCUAGAUAAAGUAUACCUACUGAUAUGUUUCUAUUAUUGGAUUUCUAUUUGAAUUCCUUGUUGUUCACUUUAUUUUAGUGUUAUGUGAAUAUUGUUUAAUUAUUUGUGCCUUCGUUAAUCAUAUAGAUUAUCCGGAGUGUGAGGCGGAUCAGAAUUAAUCAUUAGAGUACUUCAGCACCAUUCCAGGCAAGUUUGCACUUUUGAUUUUGCCCAUCCUAUAUUUUCUGCUAUGCAUGUGUGGUUUUUAUGCUAGGACAUGCGCUUGGUUUGAUCUGUAUGCUCUUUGUUGUCAUAUUCUGAUAUUGAUUGCAUUAUGUGAUGGUGUGAUCAACUUGCAUGGUAGACUUGGGCAUGUGUCGAGUGAUCCCUGAAAGUGGUGAGUGUUUAUAGUCGUAGGCUCGGGAUUAUUAACCAGGUGAAUGCAUCACUGACACAGCGCUCUAUUGUCCCUAGAGAAUGCGCCAUUGACAGAGCGCAUUUGAGGAGGUAUAGUUUUCAAAACAUAAAUCAGGUGAAUGCGUCCUUGGCAGAGCGCUCUAUUGUUCCUAGAGAAUGCGCCACCUAUAGAGCGCACUUGAGAGACUUCUGGAGUUCUUGUCAUGUUUUCUUUGAAUCUUUGGGGUUAUCAUGGGCGAAUAAAUUAGAUACGGUUGUGAGUUUAGUUAGUGGAGGUAGGUGAAGACAUUCUUCUCCAAACUAUCGUGUGUGAUUUGUUUGUCAUACUUUACUUGUGGAUGUAGGUUUGCUAUAUCAUUAUGUGUGAUUUGCCAAUACAUUCAAUGUAUUGACCCUUGUGGCUGCAACUUAUCAUGUUGCAGGAUUUUCAGAUGAUCAAUGAGAUAAGGUAGGGUCGUGAUUCUUCACUCAGCAUUUUCGCCAGUGGGUCAUUGAUGAGACUCGUCGUUUGUUAUGCUACAUUUCUGCUAUUGUUAUUGAAUAAAGCUAGCUAUGUGCUACUCAGUUUGUAAUACUUUAUGAAUUCUGGAUCAUACAUGAUAGUAAAUAAUGCGUUUGUUAUUUGAUAUUCAUACGUACUAUGUGUGCUAGCGAGUCAAUCCAGGGACUAGCAUAGUGAGCACAGAGACAUCAAAUCUUAUCAGGUUCGGGUCAUUACACCAUUGGGUCGUUCCAUGUAAAUUUCCUCCUCCAACUCUCCAUUUAGGAAAGUUGUCUUAAUAUCCGUUUGAUGAACGAGAAGAUUGUGUG
rnacentral:lncRNA from 1 species